rnacentral:rRNA from 1 species
AUUGAACGCUGGCGGCAUGCCUUACACAUGCAAGUCGAACGGUAACAGCACUUCGGUGGCUGACGAGUGGCGGACGGGUGAGUAAUACAUCGGAACGUGCCCGAUCGUGGGGGAUAACUACUCGAAAGAGUGGCUAAUACCGCAUACGAUCUACGGAUGAAAGCGGGGGAUCGCAAGACCUCGCGCGGACGGAGCGGCCGAUGGCAGAUUAGGUAGUUGGUGGGAUAAAAGCUUACCAAGCCGACGAUCUGUAGCUGGUCUGAGAGGACGACCAGCCACACUGGGACUGAGACACGGCCCAGACUCCUACGGGAGGCAGCAGUGGGGAAUUUUGGACAAUGGGGGAAACCCUGAUCCAGCCAUGCCGCGUGCAGGAUGAAGGCCUUCGGGUUGUAAACUGCUUUUGUACGGAACGAAAGACUCUUUCUAAUACAGAGGGUCCAUGACGGUACCGUAAGAAUAAGCACCGGCUAACUACGUGCCAGCAGCCGCGGUAAGCU